AUGUUGACUGAGGCUAACUUGAAGGGGUUACAAGAUUUUCAGCACUAUAGCUCCACCAUAUCUUCACUAAAACUGAGAAAUGACAUUGCAAUACCCUCUGUAGUGAUAAACAGAUUUAGGGCAACAUUCGUACAAGGAGCAAAACAACACCUCAGAAGUGAACCACCUCAAAAGAACUUUUCAUCUGUAAUUUGAAGUUCCUGUACCAGGCAAAGGCCCAACAUAGGGUCGAUAUCUUCAUUCUUUCGACUUGA
rnacentral:lncRNA from 1 species